AUUGAACGCUGGCGGCAUGCCUUACACAUGCAAGUCGAACGGCAGCACGGGAGCAAUCCUGGUGGCGAGUGGCGAACGGGUGAGUAAUAUAUCGGAACGUGCCCAGUCGUGGGGGAUAACGCAGCGAGAGCUGUGCUAAUACCGCAUACGAUCUACGGAUGAAAGCGGGGGAUCGCAAGACCUCGCGCGAUUGGAGCGGCCGAUAUCAGAUUAGCUAGUUGGUGAGGUAAAGGCUCACCAAGGCGACGAUCUGUAGCUGGUCUGAGAGGACGACCAGCCACACUGGAACUGAGACACGGUCCAGACUCCUACGGGAGGCAGCAGUGGGGAAUUUUGGACAAUGGGCGAAAGCCUGAUCCAGCAAUGCCGCAUGCAGGAUGAAGGCCUUCGGGUUGUAAACUGCUUUUGUACGGAACGAAACGGUGAGCUCUAAUACAGUUUGCUAAUGACGGUACCGUAAGAAUAAGCACCGGCUAACUACGUGCCAGCAGCCGCAGUAAUAC
rnacentral:rRNA from 1 species